rnacentral:rRNA from 1 species
UACGUAGGGUGCAAGCGUUAAUCGGAAUUACUGGGCGUAAAGCGUGCGCAGGCGGUUCUAUAAGACAGAUGUGAAAUCCCCGGGCUCAACCUGGGAACUGCUUUUGUGACUGUAGAGCUGGAGUACGGUAGAGGGGGAUGGAAUUCCGCGUGUAGCAGUGAAAUGCGUAGAUAUGCGGAGGAACACCGAUGGCGAAGGCAAUCCCCUGGACCUGUACUGACGCUCAUGCACGAAAGCGUGGGGAGCAAACAGG